CUAUUUCAAAAAGAUCUCAAGCUACUUUGCUUCUCUCUUUGGUUGCCUCAUUAUGUUUCAUUGAAGUUUCCCUCGCAUAUCGACGUUUUGACGCUUCACUUGUAGGAAAACCGCCGAUUGGUCCAAAUACUUGCCCAGUUCCUACGGAUCAGUGUUCGAGUGCAUGUAAUUAUCGAUGCUCAAAUACAUCUCACAAGAACAAUUGUUUAUUAUUCUGUAACAAGUGUUGUAAUCGGUGUCAAUGCGUUCCACCUGGUACUUUUGGACAAAAAGAUUGUUGUUCAUGUUACAAAGAUUGGAAGACACAAGAAGGAGGACCUAAAUGCCCUUGAAAUUUUCAGACUCCAUUUUGUACAAUAAG